GAAUGCUGCAAAAAGUAAUUGGCGUUCAUCUAGCACGGAACUAUGUGAUAUUUAUACUGCUUCAUAGCAUCAAUUCAAGUUUUACAUCACCAACUCAUCAAGUUUUAGAAAAAAGUGAAGUGGUGCCCAGCAAACUUAAAAUGAAACUGAAAGGUGCAUCUGAAGCUAUUUUAAAUUUCUUCAGGCCAGUGACCUGCCGUCACAAAGAAAAAGGCACCUUGGUUCCUUGUGCUGUAGGAGGGAGCAUUAACAGAACUGAGUGCUUGGAAAAUAAAUGCUGUCCUUCCAAAGACAGACAUGAACUGGCAUGUUAUGUCCCAUUUAAAGACAAUCUGCAACUGACAUUUCGACUAUUUGUGCUUGGGGCAGUAGGAUUUUUUAUUUUGGGGUGUCUGCCAUCGUGUUGCUGUGUCUGUUUGCAGAGGAGUCCAUGUGUCAAUCCUUUACGAAGGGCAAACAAAAAAAUAGAGAAAAUUGUGCAGAAGAAAAGAGCACGUAGUGAAGAUAUGCAUAGGUUGUUACCGGAUUAACUUAAAGACUCUGAGGACCAUAAACACAAGAAAAAGAGGAGCACCCACCUGAUUUUAAAGACCUCAAGCAGGAGAAGGACACCAGGAUUACUUGAGUAUGCUCUAGAAAAUGAGAUGCUUUGUUUUAGUAUCAAAGUAAUACAAUGUUGUCAACCCUUGAUAAUGCUAUUGAUUUUGUAUUAGAAGUUGUUCAUUUCUAUUUCUUCAUACUCAUUCCAUAUCUCCUGUAUGAAAAAUAUGGUAAUGCUGAAAGGCAAAAAGUGCUCAUGGUAAUUCCUGAAUGCCACUCUUCUCUUAUUAAUACAGCAUCCCUAUGGAGGGAUAUGAAGAUACCAGUUAAAUGCCUGUCAUAGUUUAGAGGUCAGUCUUAGAGUAUUAUCUGGAUUAAGAAGAGAUAGUUGUCAUUCAUUAAAUCGGUACUGAGUGGCAAGCUUACUGUGUUCCAGUAUUGGAUACCACUGUAGCACAGCAAUGCUACUCUUACUGAGGAGAACAACUAAUUAUUUACCAGGCUGCAGAGGUUUUAGGAAACCUGUGGUUGGGCCGUUCCUUUAAAGACAUAAUGGGCAAAAAUGUGAAGAACUUCAGGAAACUGUAGUAGCAUUUCUGCUGGCAUUUUCUGCCCCUGGCAUAUCACUGCACCACAGAACUUCCUUUGAUCUUCAGGCGACUUGUCUCCCAAG
ensembl:lncRNA